UACGAACCUUGCUAACGUUAUUCGGAAUUACUGGGCUUAAAGGGUGCGUAGGCGGUGCAGCAAGUUGGGUGUGAAAGCCCUCGGCUCAACCGAGGAAUUGCGCCCAAAACUGCUGCACUAGAGGAAGGCAGAGGUACGCGGAACUUAGGGUGGAGCGGUGAAAUGCGUUGAUAUCCGAAGGAAGGCCGGUGGCGAAAGCGAGCCUCUGGACAGUUACUGACGCUGAUGCACGAAGGCCAGGGGAGCAAACGGG
rnacentral:rRNA from 1 species